rnacentral:siRNA from 1 species
GGGAGGGUGGAAAUUACGGUUGAA